rfam:Nicotiana attenuata strain TT chromosome 2, whole genome shotgun sequence.
AUCUUCCGGUGUUCCUGUCGCAGAUGACUUUCGCCCUUCUCUACAACGACCCUUCAUACCCCCCUUUCUCAAAUUACAAUAAAGAAAUCAAAUAAUUCAUUGUUUUUCUACUUGGAGGUUUUUUAGUGUGACAAAGGCGAGUCAUCUGUGACAGGAUAAUGGAAGAU